UUCUGGCAGAAUAUUUUUAUUUCCUUCUAUUGAUAAACAGAAAAGGCUUCCACAUAUACAAAAAUAAUAAUAAUAAUAAUUCAGACCAUACAUUAUUUCUCUUCUUGAGUCUAAGGAUGGCAAGUAGAAGAAAGUGGUUGGAUUAAUUCAAUGUAUCUUUUGUUUAUUUCAAAAGCUAGAACUAUUAUUUAAAAAUAAAUCCAUCUGUUCUUACCCCUCCUGGUAUCCUUUAGUUACUUCUCUAUUCUCAUUUCACAUAUUAUUAGUUUUUUAAAAGUUAAUUGUAACAAUAAUCUCUGUAGAAUUGAGGAUUGCAGAUUCCAUUACUAUUUUUAAAAAUAAUCUUACUUGCCUUGCUUGCCAGAAUAACUUAGAAUCUCAUUCUCUACAUGUCAGACCCACAAAAGUGGGUAUUAUCAUUUUUGCAACAAAAUUCCUCAUAAUGGCCCUGGAGAGAAUGUUAAAAAUAUUUUUUUUCUGAAUCCUGUCACUGGUUUUUUUUUUUUAGGGAAACAAACAGGAAAAGAGAAAGCAAAGGAAAAAAGGAACCAACGUGUAUAUAGCUUUAAUGUUUGUAAUCUACGUGCAAAAAAAUUUCAGAGUAUUUUCAGCUAUUUCCUGUGAAGCAUACUGCACAAAGGCUCCCCUGUACUCCUUCCCUGGAAAUCCACAAUCAGUCUUAUGCCAUUUGGCAUGAUUUCCAACCGUGAGAAGCACUGAACAAUUUCUUCCUUGCUACAUUCAAAGGGGAGUACAAAGCCAUCAUUGGCCGUGUCAGAACUAUCUGGACCACUAUGCUUCAGCGCCGCAUCCAUCUCAACGUUGUUUGACUUGAAUACUGAAACAUAUCUGUCUCUUAUAAUUUCUUUGUCUUUUUUCAAGUCGAAUUUGACCUCAUGCUCUCAAGUUCAGCAAAAGUCUCACCACUCAGUCUGCCUUCUCUGCUGUAGAUGAAAUGAAUACGUGGAGCCCUAUUUUAAAUUUUGCACUCAGAAAAAAAUCCACUGCACUCUAUUGGCUGAGCAAGACUAGGGCAAUCUCUGGACCUUCAUUAUGAAUCCCUGUCCACCUUCAGUGCCCAACAUCAUCAUCUCUUACAGGAUCUGACACUGAAACAGACUAGACACCUGACUUUGACGUGACUGAGCAGAAAAUCUCCUUUUUUUUUUUUUUCUACAUGUUCAUUUCUGUUGCUUCCAUGGUAACCCAACUUCCGUCUAUUGUUUGUUUCAUUCACCUUUAAUAGAAACGGCUUUAGUUCGUGUGUUUCUUUAAUUUUAAUUUAUUUUAGAUUCCAGCAGACAUGUGCAGAACGUGCAGGUUUGUUACAUAGGUAAAUGUGUGCCAUGGUGGUUUGCUGCACAGGCUAACAGCAGACCUCUCAGCAGAAAACCUACAAGCCAGGAGAGAGUGGGCACCAACAUUCAACGUUCUUAAAGAAAAUAAUUUUUAACCUGUGUGGUUUUAAUUCUGAUGUUGUCAGCUUGUGUCUGAGCUUUGGAAUACUUAUUUCAGCAUCUAUGAUUUUCUUUUAUUAUGUAUAUUUAAAACCCAAGAAAGACAAUUUAAAAACUAAAUGAGUGAGAAUAUAUCACUUAUUCUUUUAGACCCUGUUGAAAUGUUGUAUCUUGUAGGAUCUGGAUGUGAUGUGAAUGUACAUUUUGUUGGUUUUAAUUUAAAUUGACAAAAAAUUGCUCAUUAUUUUUAAGAAGUCAAGCAAUUCACAAGUAAAAGUAACAGUUAAAAUGCCCUUUGACUCUCUUGUAUUAUCAACCCCAAACUCUCCUCUCUUAUUUACGAACGAAACAUUUUUGCUAAUCAGGCAUACCUUGUAAAAUUUUGUAGACAUUUACACACACACAUAUACACAUAAACGGUGUUUUAUCUUUUAUUUCGAAUAAGUGACAUAAAAAGUCAUAGUCCAUAUACAUUUUCAACCUACUUCUUUUCCACGAACCUUUUUCCAUAUUAAUACUUCAUCUCGGCUGGGCACAGUGGCUCAUGCUUGUAGUCCCAGCACUUUGGGUGGUCGAAGUGGGUGGAUCACCUGAGGUCAGGAGAUAAGAGACCAGUCUGGCCAACGUGGUGAAACCCCAUCUUUCCUAAAAAUAUAAAAAUUCGCUGGGAGGGGUGGCACUUGCCUGUAAUCCCAGCUACUCAGGAGGCUGAGGAAGGAGAAUCGCUUAAACCUGGGAGGCAGAUGUUGCAGUGAACUGAGAUCCUACCACUGCACUCCAGCCUGGGCAACAAGAGCUAGACUCCAUCUCAAAAAAAAAAAAAAAAAAAAAAAAACCAAAAAAAACUUCAUCUUAUUGACCAUUUUCAUACAAUUAAAUAGUGUAUGUAUAGUAUAACUAAUUUUAUUUUUUGAGUUCAUCUUUACAAAUGAAUGGUCAUGUUAUUUAGAGCACUGUAGACAUUCAUGUGGAUUUCUUCAUAUUCCCCUAGUAUCUAGCCAUUUAUUUCAUCUUUUCCCAUUUUUCCCUUUUAUUCCUUUAAUCAUGUCAGUACUGCGUGUAGACUUUCUAGCAUAGCAUCAAUUUUCUUGGAAUGGAGUGCCUCAUAUAUCUAUAAAAUGAAAACUUUUUCUUUCCCAAGAAUAUCUUUAAGGUGUCCUCACUUUGCAGGUAAGGUUUUGAUUCUUCCUCAAACCAUUUUCUAGGCCUGCACUAUAUUCUUUUCAACUGUGUGACAAUUCAUCUAAUUUGGGACUGUCGAUCUAUCCUUUUAGUUUUCCCAAAUUAAGUAAACAGUAAAUAGAAGCAGAAGUAAAUUCAAACCUAGGACUGCUUUUAGGUUGUCCGCAUGAUAUAAACAGCUAGAUGGAAAUGGUAAACCUUUCAGUCCCCAGCUGCGAGUGGUGGCUCAGAGAGUAAUAUAUUAAGUGAACUAAUAGAAGGCAUAACUAAAUGCUGUGGAUAUGCAGAGAAGAUCUUAAUUCUGCUUGGGGUACUCAGAGAAUGCUUUAGAGAACUGACAAUUUAGCUGAGCCUUUAAGGAAGAGUUUUCCAACAGGGCCAGAGGAAAAGGGCAUUCCAGGGAGAGGAGAGAAUGUUUAAAAAGGGUACAAUGGGAUGAAAGUUUAUGUUAUGUUCACAAAAGAGCAAGUAAUUCAGGCUCUGUGAAUAGGGAGUGUAUGUUGGGGUCAAGUUGACAGGGACUAAGUGAUAAUUAGGGUCAGACGUUGACGAAUGUAGACCUUAUCCUGAUAGUGAUGGAAAAGCCAUGGGAGCAUUGUAUGCAAGGGCUUGAAAAGACGAAGUUUGUGGUUUAGAACACGGGUCAGGAAACAUUUUUGUCUGUAAAGAGCCAGAUAGUAAACAUUUUAGGAUUUGUAGGCUGCAUAGGGUCUUCAGUGCAUAUGCCUCAUUUUCUUCUUUGCUUCACUUCCUCCUCCACCUUUGCCUUCUCCUCUUCCUCCUUUCUGUUCUCCUCCUCCUUCUUCCUUUACAACCCUU
rnacentral:lncRNA from 1 species